GACGAACGCUGGCGGCGUGCCUAAUACAUGCAAGUAGAACGCACAGUUUAUACCGUAGCUUGCUACACCAUACACUGUGAGUUGCGAACGGGUGAGUAACGCGUAGGUAACCUGCCUGGUAGCGGGGGAUAACUAUUGGAAACGAUAGCUAAUACCGCAUAAUAUUAAUUAUUGCAUGAUAAUUGAUUGAAAGAUGCAAUUGCAUCACUACCAGAUGGACCUGCGUUGUAUUAGCUAGUAGGUGAGGUAACGGCUCACCUAGGCGACGAUACAUGGCCGACCUGAGAGGGUGAUCGGCCACACUGGGACUGAGACACGGCCCAGACUCCUACGGGAGGCAGCAGUAGGGAAUCUUCGGCAAUGGACGAAAGUCUGACCGAGCAACGCCGCGUGAGUGAAGAAGGUUUUCGGAUCGUAAAGCUCUGUUGUAAGAGAAGAACGGGUGUGAGAGUGGAAAGUUCACACUGUGACGGUAUCUUACCAGAAAGGGACGGCUAACUACGUG
rnacentral:rRNA from 1 species